rnacentral:rRNA from 1 species
CCUACGGGUGGCAGCAGUGAGGAAUAUUGGUCAAUGGGCGCGAGCCUGAACCAGCCAAGUCGCGUGAGGGAAGACGGUCCUAUGGAUUGUAAACCUCUUUUGUCGGGGAGCAAAAGACGCCACGCGUGGCGUUCCGAGAGUACCCGAAGAAAAAGCAUCGGCUAACUCCGUGCCAGCAGCCGCGGUAAUACGGAGGAUGCGAGCGUUAGCCGGAUUUAUUGGGUUUAAAGGGUGAGCAGGCGGAAUAUCAAGUCAGCGGUAAAAUUGAGAGGCUCAACCUCUUCGAGCCGUUGAAACUGGUUUUCUUGAGUGAGCGAGAAGUAUGCGGAAUGCGGGGUGUAGCGGUGAAAUGCAUAGAUAUCACGCAGAACUGCGAUUGCGAAGGCAGCAUACAGGCGGCGAUCUGACGCUGAGGCACGAAAGCGUGGGUAUCGAACAGGAUUAGAUACCCGAGUAGUC